ACGGGUGCGUAACACGUGGAUAACCUUCCUUCAGGUGGGGAAUAACCCAGUGAAAAUUGGGCUAAUACCGCAUAACAUCGCGAUGGCACAUGCUGUUGCGUUCAAAGGCGCAAGUCGCCAGAAGAGGGAUCCGCGGCCGAUUAGCUUGUUGGCGAGGUAAUGGCUCACCAAGGCAUUGAUCGGUAGCCGGACUGAGAGGUUGGCCGGCCACACUGGAACUGAGACACGGUCCAGACUCCUACGGGAGGCAGCAGUGAGGAAUCUUGCACAAUGGACGAAAGUCUGAUGCAGCAACGCCGCGUGGGGGAUGAAGCUUCUCGGAGUGUAAACCCCUUUCGACCCGGAAGAAAGCCCGCAAGGGUUUGACGGUACGGGUAUAAGAAGCCCCGGCUAACUACGUGCCAGCAGCCGCGG
rnacentral:rRNA from 1 species